rnacentral:lncRNA from 1 species
AGGUAAAAAAAAGGUAAGUGGUAGAGAGGGUGAUAGGGAAAAUAGAGAUUAGGGAUAAGAUAAAAGGAGAAUUGGGGAGAGAAUUAGCAAAGAAGGAGAAGUAGUAGAGAAGAAUUUUGUGGGAGAAAUAGACUAAUUCAUUUUCAUUCAUACCUCUGUUGCAAUUACAUUCUUAUAUAUAUACUUGCUACACUUAGUAUUGAAAUCAAAGUAAACUAUCCUAU